AUACGUAGGGGACGAGCGUUGUCCGGAAUGAUUGGGCGUAAAGGGCGCGUAGGCGGCCUGGUAAGUCUGAAGUGAAAGUCCCGCUUUCAAGGUGGGAAUUGCUUUGGAUACUGCUGGGCUUGAGUGCAGGAGAGGAAAGCGGAAUUCCCGGUGUAGCGGUGAAAUGCGUAGAGAUCGGGAGGAACACCAGUGGCGAAGGCGGCUUUCUGGACUGUAACUGACGCUGAGGCGCGAAAGCGUGGGGAGCAAACAGGAUUAGAUACCCUGGUAGUCCACGCCGUAAACGAUGAGCACUAAGUGUCGGAUGAAUUUUCGGCGCUGCAGUUAACGCAAUAAGUGCUCCGCCUGGGGAGUACGGUCGCAAGACUGAAACUUAAAUGAAUUGGCGGGG
rnacentral:rRNA from 1 species